GAUCCUGGCUCAGGAUGAGCGCUAGCUACAGGCUUAACACAUGCAAGUCGAGGGGCAGCAUGACCUAGCAAUAGGUUGAUGGCGACCGGCGCACGGGUGAGUAACACGUAUCCAACCUACCGGUUAUUCCGGGAUAGCCUUUCGAAAGAAAGAUUAAUACCGGAUAGUAUAACGAGAAGGCAUCUUCUUGUUAUUAAAGAAUUUCGAUAACCGAUGGGGAUGCAUUCCAUUAGUUUGUUGGCGGGGUAACGG
rnacentral:rRNA from 1 species